UGGGGAAUUUUGCACAAUGGGGGAAACCCUGAUGCAGCGACGCCGCGUGAUUUAGAAGGCCUUCGGGUUGUAAAAAUCUUUUCUAUGGGAAGAAAAUGACAGUACCAUAGGAAUAAGGACCGGCUAAUUACGUGCCAGCAGCCGCGGUAAUACGUAAGGUCCGAGCGUUGUCCGGAAUCAUUGGGCGUAAAGGGUACGUAGGCGGGUAAUCAAGUUAGAAGUGAAAUCCUAUAGCUCAACUAUAGUAAGCUUUUAAAACUGCUCAUCUUGAGGUAUGGAAGGGAAAGUGGAAUUCCUAGUGUAGCGGUGAAAUGCGCAGAUAUUAGGAGGAAUACCGGUGGCGAAGGCGACUUUCUGGCCAUAACCUGACGCUGAGGUACGAAAGCGUGGGUAGCAAACAGG
rnacentral:rRNA from 1 species